UACGUAGGUGACAAGCGUUGUCCGGAUUUACUGGGCGUAAAGAGCGCGCAGGCGGUCGUUCAAGUCGAGUGUGAAAGCCCCCGGCUCAACUGGGGAGGGUCAUUCGAUACUGAUCGACUCGAAGGCAGGAGAGGGAAGUGGAAUUCCCGGUGUAGUGGUGAAAUGCGCAGAUAUCAGGAGGAACACCGAUGGCGAAGGCAGGUCUCUGGGCCACUACUGACGCUGAGAAGCGAAAGCAUGGGGAGCGAACAGG
rnacentral:rRNA from 1 species